CGUAGUACGCAAGUGUCCGCACUCCGCAGCUCAAGGCCUGCCAGUAGACGGAAGCACACAGUGAGCGCAGAGCUUGUGUCUUCAAGUGGAGAACAAGACGAAUACAACACGCUGCUGAGCUCAGUGUGAAGACGCCAGAGCGUUUCUAACCCUGCUCUGUGUCUUCUAAGAGGAUAUUUGAAGGGGAAGUUCUUCUUGAAUGCCCAAGACGCAGUCAGAACGGUUUUCACCAUGAACAGGAAUAAGCGUGAGAAGGAAUACUACAGCAUAGAUGUAGGAGAUUCCACGUUCACCGUUUUGAAGCGCUAUCAGAAUUUAAGACCAAUCGGAUCUGGAGCACAAGGCAUCGUCUGCUCAGCGUACGACCAUGUCCUUGAACGAAAUGUUGCAAUUAAGAAACUUAGCCGACCCUUUCAGAACCAAACCCACGCCAAACGGGCCUACAGAGAACUGGUCCUGAUGAAAUGUGUCAACCACAAAAAUGUAAGACAUGU